GACGAACGCUGGCGGCGUGCUUAACACAUGCAAGUCGAACGGAAAGGCCCUGCUUUUGUGGGGUGCUCGAGUGGCGAACGGGUGAGUAACACGUGAGUAACCUGCCCUUGACUUUGGGAUAACUUCAGGAAACUGGGGCUAAUACCGGAUAGGGGCUCCUGCUGCAUGGUGGGGGUUGGAAAGUUUCGGCGGUUGGGGAUGGACGCGCGGCUUAUCAGCUUGUUGGUGGGGUAGUGGCUUACCAAGGCUUUGACGGGUAGCCGGCCUGAGAGGGUGACCGGCCACAUUGGGACUGAGAUACGGCCCAGACUCCUACGGGAGGCAGCAGUGGGGAAUAUUGCACAAUGGGCGGAAGCCUGAUGCAGCAACGCCGCGUGCGGGAUGACGGCCUUCGGGUUGUAAACCGCUUUCGCCUGUGACGAAGCGUGAGUGACGGUAAUGGGUAAAGAAGCACCGGCUAACUACGUG
rnacentral:rRNA from 1 species